rnacentral:misc_RNA from 1 species
UUAAAUUCAGCGGGUAGUCCUACCUAAUUUGAGAUCGAGAUCUAAAAGAGAUGGGGCGUGAUUGGACCACUAUGACCGACACGCGUGGAUGCGCCUGUGCUGACGAGUUCCCAAGAAUGAGACUAUCACGUCAGAGCCAGGUUGCGCACGCGCUGGUAUGCAUAGGCCCGAUUCAGUGUACUACUUCAAGUCAGUGCCAC